rnacentral:rRNA from 1 species
UUAUAAGAGACAGCAGCAGCCGCGGUAAAACGGAGGGUGCAAGCGUUAAUCGGAAUUACUGGGCGUAAAGCGCACGCAGGCGGUCUGACAAGUCAGAUGUGAAAUCCCCGGGCUUAACCUGGGAACUGCAUUUGAAACUGUCAGGCUGGAGUCUUGUAGAGGGGGGUAGAAUUCCAGGUGUAGCGGUGAAAUGCGUAGAGAUCUGGAGGAAUACCGGUGGCGAAGGCGGCCCCCUGGACAAAGACUGACGCUCAGGUGCGAAAGCGUGGGGAGCAAACAGGAUUAGAUACCCCAGUAGUCCCUGUCUCUUAUAC